UGGGGGAUAUUGCACAAUGGGCGCAAGCCUGAUGCAGCGACGCCGCGUGGGGGAUGAAGGCCUUCGGGUUGUAAACUUCUUUUGCUCUGAACAAGGCGCACUUUGGGGUGUGUUGAGUGUAGGGGUUGAUUAGCGCCGGCUAACUACGUGCCAGCAGCCGCGGUAAUACGUAGGGCGCGAGCGUUGUCCGGAAUUAUUGGGCGUAAAGGGCUUGUAGGUGGCUGGUUGCGUCUGUCGUGAAAGCUCAUGGCUUAACUGUGGGUUUGCGGUGGGUACGGGCUGGCUUGAGUGCAGUAGGGGAGGCUGGAAGUCCUGGUGUAGCGGUGGAAUGCGCAGAUAUCAGGAGGAAUACCGGUGGCGAAGGCGGGUCUCUGGGCUGUUACUGACACUGAGGAGCGAAAGCAUGGGGAGCGAACAGG
rnacentral:rRNA from 1 species